CCUACGGGCGGCAGCAGUAGGGAAUCUUUCACAAUGGGCGAAAGCCUGAUGGAGCAACGCCGCGUGCAGGAUGAAGGCCUUCGGGUUGUAAACUGCUUUUAUAAGCGAGAAAUAUGAUGGUAACUUAUGAAUAAGGAUCGGCUAACUACGUGCCAGCAGCCGCGGUCAUACGUAGGAUCCGAGCAUUAUCCGGAGUGACUGGGUGUAAAGAGUUGCGUAGGUGAAAUAAUAAGUAGCUAGUGAAAUCUGGUGGCUCAACCAUUCAGACUAUUAGCUAAACUGUUAAGCUCGAGACCGUUAGGGGUAACUGGAAUUUCUAGUGUAGGAGUGAAAUCCGUAGAUAUUAGAAGGAACACCAAUAGCGUAGGCAGGUUGCUGGGACGGUUCUGACACUAAGGCACGAAAGCGUAGGGAGCAAACGGGAUUAGAUACCCCAGUAGUC
rnacentral:rRNA from 1 species